GAGCAGGGAAUUAUAGAGUGAAACCUGUGCUGAUUUCUUGGUUGGAAGGAGAAGCCCUGAGGCCGGGGAGGAGAGACUUGUGUGCAGAUCUCAAACCACAGCUUCAGGAUGUGGCAUGGCUGCAGUUUGAUUUGGGAACAGGAUCACCGAAUACGAGUGAGCUGGGAAUCAGCCAGCCCCAGUGGAAUGUCUCAGACCCAGCACAGUGUGACAAAGUCUUGAGUGAGCAGUCCUGCCCUCAGCCCCAUGGGGAUGCCAAGACAGUUAAGAUGUCUUCUGAGGGUGAUCAGAUUGAAAAGAGCUUCCUACCUCCAAAGAAGCCCUCCCCUGGGAAAAGCUCCUCCAAAUAUGUUCCGCUCAAUCCAUGGACACAAAAUCCCCCAGUGCUACAGCCCCUGGACUGUGAGAGAGGAGCACUGUUUAUAGCAAGUCCCUCACACCGACAGGCCCACAAGCAAAGUCACCAUGAACAGAACUCAUUCAAGUGUGAAGAGUGUGGGGGAACUUUCCCGUGUUCUAGGCACCAUGAGGUUCCCAUAGAAACCCACAGUGGACAGAAUUUCCAGAAAUGUCAACAGCAAAGACAAACAUUGA